UACGUAGGCAGCAAGCGUUGUUCGGAGUUACUGGGCGUAAAGAGUGUGUAGGCGGUGCUCCAAGUUUGGUGUGAAAUCUCCCGGCUCAACUGGGAGGGUGCGCCGAAAACUGGAGUGCUUGAGUAUGGGAGAGGAAAGCGGAAUUCCUGGUGGUAGCGGUGAAAUGCGCAGAGUAUACAGGAGGAACACCGGUGGCGAAGGCGGGUCUCUGGGCCGAUACUGACGCUGAGGAGCGAAAGCGUGGGGAGCGAACAGGA
rnacentral:rRNA from 1 species